rnacentral:misc_RNA from 1 species
GGCCAAUAAACGACAUUAACCUAAAAGAAAAGAAAAACAAUUUGAUUUCCACAUUGUAUUUACUGUACAUGUGGUCUAAAAUUAAUUUCAAAUUUAUUUUUUAAACACAAUUCCAGUAGAUUUCCAAUGAUGGGCUACGAAUUAUGCUUUCUGUGUACCCAUUAAGGUGAUCUAAUUAGUUUCCAUGCAAUAAUUACAUGAAUAGAUGUUCAUAACAAGCAUACCCUAACCAUAAACUUUACCUAGAAAUUCAACAUCAAUCGAAC